rnacentral:rRNA from 1 species
UGCCAGACUCCUACGGGAGGCAGCAGUGGGGAAUAUUGGGCAAUGGGCGCAAGCCUGACCCAGCAACGCCGCGUGAAGGAAGAAGGCUUUCGGGUUGUAAACUUCUUUUGACAGGGAGGAGCAGAAGACGGUACCUGUCGAAUAAGCCCCGGCUAACUACGUGCCAGCAGCCGCGGUAAUACGUAGGGGGCAAGCGUUGUUCGGAAUGACUGGGCGUAAAGGGUGUGUAGGCGGUGUAGCAAGUUAGAAGUGAAAUACCUAGAGCUUAACUCAGGUGCUGCUUCUAAAACUGCUAUACUUGAGUGCAGUAGAGGAAAGUGGAAUUCCUAGUGUAGCGGUGGAAUGCGUAGAUAUUAGGAGGAACAUCAGUGGCGAAGGCGACUUUCUGGACUGUAACUGACGCUGAGGCACGAAAGUGUGGGGAGCAAACAGGAUUAGAUACCCCUGUA